rfam:Heterocephalus glaber contig193657, whole genome shotgun sequence.
GGUUGUGAGGGCAAACUGGCUGCAACAUCUCUCACCCCAUGGAUCACCAGAGUUGAUUUGGCUGAUCUAGCUGUCUAGAUGGGUGUUCCCUUUCUCCUUCACUGCUCCAUGUGUGUCCCUCCCUAAGCUCCAUACUCUAAGAGGACAAACAUCCCCGGUAGAGGAGGACAGUUUCCUCAGUCAAAGGUAUAUGAGUAGCUGUGCUCCCCCGCUAGAACCUCCAAACAAGCUCUCAAGAAUCAAAAUCAUUCCAUGUAUCCUAUCAGAUCAUAGUGCACUGAAACUAGAAAUCAUUGCAAAAGAAACUACAGAAAUUUCUUUUUUUUUAAUUUUAAUUUUUUAU